rnacentral:rRNA from 1 species
CCUACGGGUGGCAGCAGUGGGGGAUAUUGCACAAUGGGGGAAACCCUGAUGCAGCGACGCCGCGUGGGCGAAGAAGUAUUUCGGUAUGUAAAGCCCUAUCAGCAGGGAAGAAGAAAUUACGGUACCUGAGUAAGAAGCACCGGCUAAAUACGUGCCAGCAGCCGCGGUCAUACGUAGGGUGCAAGCGGUAUCCGGAUUUACUGGGUGUAAAGGGAGGGCAGGCGGCAGGGCAAGCCUGAUGUGAAAGCCCGCGGCCCAACCGCGGGACUGCAUUGGGACCUACCAGGCUGGAAUGCGGAUGCCGUGGGAGGAAUGUGUGGUGUAGCGGUGAAAUGCAUAGAUAUCACACAGAACACCGAUUGCGAAGGCAUCUCACGAGUCCGCGAUUGACGCUGAUGCACGAAAGCGUGGGUAUCAAACAGGAUUAGAUACCCGGGUAGUC